GAUGAACGCUAGCUACAGGCUUAACACAUGCAAGUCGAGGGGUAACGAGAGGAAGGCUUGCUUUCCUUGUCGACGACCGGCGCACGGGUGAGUAACGCGUAUCCAACCUGCCCCCAACUAGGGAAUAACCUUGCGAAAGUAAGACUAAUACCCUAUAAUUUCCUCAGAUGCCAUCUGACGAGGAAUAAAGAUUUAUCGGUUGUGGAUGGGGAUGCGUCUGAUUAGCUUGUUGGCGGGGUAACGGCCCACCAAGGCAACGAUCAGUAGGGGUUCUGAGAGGAAGGUCCCCACAUUGGAACUGAGACACGGUCCAAACUCCUACGGGAGGCAGCAGUGAGGAAUAUUGGUCAAUGGGCGGAAGCCUGAACCAGCCAAGUAGCGUGCAGGAUGACGGCCCUAUGGGUUGUAAACUGCUUUUAUACAGGAAUAAAGUUAGCCACGUGUGGUUAUUUGUAGGUACUGUAUGAAUAAGGACCGGCUAAUUCCGUGCCAGCCGCCGCGGUAAGAG
rnacentral:rRNA from 1 species